rnacentral:rRNA from 1 species
UACGGGGGGAGCAAGCGUUGUUCGGAUUUACUGGGCGUAAAGGGCGCGUAGGCGGUCAGCACAAGUCAGUUGUGAAAUCUCCGGGCUUAACUCGGAAAGGUCAACUGAUACUGUGCGACUAGAGUGCAGAAGGGGCAACUGGAAUUCUCGGUGUAGCGGUGAAAUGCGUAGAUAUCGAGAGGAAUACCGAUGGCGAAGGCAGGUCUCUGGGCUGACACUGACGCUCAUGCACGAAAGCGUGGGGAGCAAACAGG